rnacentral:rRNA from 1 species
CCUACGGGAGGCAGCAGUGGGGAAUAUUGCGCAAUGGGGGAAACCCUGACGCAGCAACGCCGCGUGAGUGAGGAAGGACUUCGGUCUGUAAAGCUCUGUUAAUGUGGAAAAAUGGUAGUUGGUCUAAUAGGCCGAUUAUUUGAUGGUACACAUAGAGGAAGCACCGGCUAACUUCGUGCCAGCAGCCGCGGUAAUACGAAGGGUGCAAGCGUUGUUCGGAUUUAUUGGGCGUAAAGCGCGCGUAGGCGGACCUGCAAGUCAGAUGUGAAAUCUCGGGGCUCAACCUCGAAACUGCGUCUGAAACUACAGGUCUAGAAUCUCGGAGGGGGAAGGGGAAUUUCGCAUGUAGGGGUAAAAUCCGUAGAUAUGCGAAGGAACACCAGAGGCGAAGGCGCCUUCCUAGACGAGUAUUGACGCUGAGGCGCGAAAGCGUGGGGAUCAAACAGGAUUAGAUACCCUGGUAGUCCACGCUGUAAACGAUGAACACUAGGUAUUGGAGGAUUUGACCCCUUCAGUGCCGUAGCUAACGCGUUAAGUGUUCCGCCUGGGAAGUACGGUCGCAAGACAAAACUCAAAUGAAUGACGG